CGACUUGUUCUCUAGAAGUUGGUCCCCACGUUAGCUCCUCAGAGAGGAGCUGCUUACUAAAGAGAGGAUUCUCUUCUGGAGUCCUUUGGACUCCAGACACAAUUUAUAAUUGUCUUAAUUUAUGCAAUUAUUGGUUUAAUAACACAUUCCCUAUUAGUCUGUGAACUCCAACCAGAGAGAGAUCAUUUAUGCUUUUUAAAACUUCUGUAGAAUAAGUAGGCGAUAGCAGGCACUUAUUUUGAACACAUGAAUGAAAGAGAUGUUUGAGGAAGCAUUUAGUUCAGUGGCUGGCCCAUGGACAAUACACAGGUUAGUUUCCCUUUUUCAUUUUAACAUUGUAUUAGGUAUUGGUCUUUUAUUUAAUGGAAUGUUUUUAAAUCUUUUGGAUAGCUGCAGUCAUGCCACUAGAUGUCAGCCUAAGCUAGAAAAUUAACUGCUAUGAACAGAGUGUUGUGUAUGAUGCCACUGCUCAGUUGAGCUGUUAAAUGAUUCCCAUAUUUUUUAAGUUAAUGAAGAAAUAACAUUUUUGUAGAUACCUUUUUUUCUUUCUACAGCCACACAUGUGGCACAUGGAAGUUCCCGGGCUAGGGGUCAAAUCAGAGCUGCAGCUGCAGCCACAGCAACACCAGAUCCAAACCGCAUCUGCCUUCCAUACCAUGCAGCUCUUUAACCCAGUGAGGGAGGCCAGGACUCGAACCCACAUCCUCACAGACACUAUGCUGAGCCACAGUGGAACUCCCUGUAGAGACCGUUGAAUUUGAGGUUGUGGAUGUGCUGGAUUGCGUAUCGAGCACUGAGGGUGUAAUUCUCUUGUCUUGUAGAUGGUUAUAGAAGUGUUAGAUUCUUUGUCCGGUAACUUCUCAUGAUGGAAUAUCCAUGAAAUACAAUAAUAAGGUAAUAACAGCUGCUAAUAUUUAUUAAGUACUAGCUGCAUGGCAAACAGUUUGCUAAAUGCUUAAAUGUUUACCUCAUUUAAUCUCAAUUAAUUAAUUAGAACAGUAACUAAAAGUAUCUCAAUUGAUAAAAAAAAGUCCGGUGAGAUAAAUAGUAUUACUAACCUCAUUCAAAAACUGGAAUUUAAAGAGAUUAAGGAGCUGUUCUUAAAAACUCCAAAAGAGAGAGCAUAACAAGGCAUGAUUACUUACCUAUAAAAAUAAACACUUAUUUAUAAAAAAAUAAAGAUGUUUUAAUAGCGCGGGACUUGUCAACAUUCAUUGCCAGUUGGAAUUCAGGAUUUUAGGGGACAACGAAAUAAAUGAUGCUGUUUAGUGGCCGGGGUUAGGAUGGCAGUGAAAAGAGCUCAGAUGUUGAAUGCGGCAGACCUUGGUUUGCGCCUCAGCUUUACUCUGAUGUGAGGCGGCUUAUUUCGUGCCUUUGAGCCUCUGUUCCCAUGUCAGUUACGCGGAGGACUAGAACAAGCCUGCGUUACGGUGCCGAAGUGAAGGUCAGAGAAACAUAUGGGAAGUGCCUGCCACAGGGACCGCAUGUCCCAAGUUACGGUUUUCCUAAUUUUUGCUAUAAAUGUCUAAACCUGAGAACAAUGAUAUUCAUUUUUUGGAUACUGUGGGUGAAAAAGACCCUCGUGCUUCGGUGACGGUAGCUGAAUAUAAGAAGAUGGCACCGUCACGUUUAUAUACCUGAAUGGCCUAACAGUCCUCGAUCCACAGUUGACAUACAAGGCUGAUUAUUUACCUUUCAGGAUUAUUGGGACGGUUUCCCUUGAGGAACCGAAAAUUGAGAUCAUGCAUUUUGUACUUGGUUGACAUCUUCCGAGUGCCUUUGGUGCUUGGGUGUGAUGAUGAAGGGUAGAGAAAUGAGGCUCCCUCUCUUCUUUCCAAGUUAUCGGUACUUAGGUUUGUUUGUAUAAUACAUUACUUCUUGCUUAGAUUCCUUUAAUAACCUCCAAGUUUGUCUCUCCACUUUAGUCUCCUUUACGCAUGUCUAGAGAUGGGUACCCCUGAAUUACAGCUCAGACCCUAUGACAACUUGUUCAAGCAUCUGCAGUCUCCGUGGCCUACCCAAAGUUUCCACCAACCCUGGCUGGAGACAUACUGUGGACUGGUCCCCCGUUUUUACUUUACGGGCUGCCCCUGGGUGCAUCUAGAGACAAUCAGGACACGUGAGCACGUGAACUAACAUCCCUAAUUCAACUUUAUGUUUCGAAAAUAUUUGUAAUUAAGGAGGCUGGAGUGAAAUCAUUUUUUUAUACUUUAAGGAAAAUUUAAAAUUCAGGGAAAUGUAAGGAAUAGUUUAACAACAUUCAUUCUUUGAUACAGAAUUAACCAUUGUUAAUUUUUUAUCAUAGCUUAGAUUUUUUUAAGAAUUUACUGUGUCUUCUGCCUGAAACAACUUAAAAAACGCUCUUACUUAUCGACAGUUACAAAUACAGUAUGUUCUGUGUGGUUUUAAUUUAUGUGCAUGACACUGCGCCCAUCCUCUGUAAUUUACCUUGCUCUGUACUGUGUAUCUGAAGUCUGUUUAGUAUAGAUAAGACCGCUUUCUCCUGACUCUUGUCUUGGCCCAUCUCAUGAGUGCAUCCUGUGUUGUUGUCUAGUUCGACGCGGGGGGCAGUGAGAUUGUUUUGGUUUUCACGCGUAAAAUCACGGUGCGGUGAAUGUUUUCAUGUAUCCUGGAACAAAAACGUAAAAAUUUCUUUGAGGAAUCUAUCUGUAAGUGUCUGCGUAUUUUUAUUUUACUAACUACAACCAAUUGCUUUCAGCGGAGCUUCCCUGUUUCCUCCCAUUUUCAUGAAAACUUGAUAAAUACUAUUAUUGGGUGGAAAUUUUCUGGUUAGCUUCAAGAUUAAGCUAAGGUGACCGGCCUUUUCCUUCUUUGAACAUUGGCAGUUCAUGUCCUUUGCCCAUUUUUGUUGUUGUUGAAUUGUUCACAUUUUUCUUUCUUUUCCCUCCUCUUUUUUUAUUGAGUUUGAAAAUAUCUGCUUCCUAUUUACUAUAAACCUUUAGUGUCCCUAAAUUGUUUCUUCCACUACCAUAAAUUUAUAUAUAAACAAAAUUCAAAUAAUUGAAAUCUUAAUAUUGAGUAUUUUAAUACGUAAAUGUGAUGUCUUUAUUCAUUUAUUCAGAUCCUUUAAAAUGUUUUUCAGUAAUAUUUUAUAGUUUUCUGCAUAAAGUUCUGCAUUUUGGGUUGGAUUUUUUCUAAGGUAUUUUAAAGUUUUAUUCCUAUUAUGAAUGAGAAUUUUAAAAUUAACUAUUUAUAAUUUACUUGCUUAUAAAUAGUAAUAUUAUUGAAUUUCAUUCAUUGAAUUCUCAUAUUCCUAUAGUUUUGGUUGCAUCUCUCAAUAUUUUCUAUGAAAAUUAUGGUUUUCAAAUACUGACAAUUUUGCCUCUUUAAAAUAUUCAUGUUUAUCCAUUUUCAUGUCUUUUUGCAUUGGUUAGUUAGGGCUUCCAGCAUAAUGCUGACUAGUAAUGUAAGUCUAGCAGAUAUCUUGGUGCAUUCCUGACUUUAAUCCGAAUACUUCUCUUCUUUUCCUAAAAAUUAUGAUGCUUGGUGUAGAAUUGUCUAGGUACUCACUAAAUUUCCUUUCAUAUUCCAGUUCUCCAAUUUUUUGGUUUUUAAAAAUUAUGCAUAGGUAAUUGAAUACAUCAAAUGCCUUUUCUGCAUUUUUAAGAUUUUUCUCCCUUAAUCUGUGAAUGUGGUGGAUUACAUUAUAGUGCUUAUUUUUUAUUAUUAUUAGUUUGUUCAUUUUAUCCAGAACUCAGGAAUAGAAUUACUAAUUUUCCUCAGUUGAUGAUACGGUAUCAUCAUUCGUCUAUGGCUCUUUCUAUUAUAUCAUUACUUAUUUUCGUAUUUCCUAUCCACAGCUCUAUUCCAUUUCUCCUACCCCUGCUUUUACCUUGAUGUGUUUGUUAUAUCUGCUGGUCCAGUGAGGUGUUAUUUUGUGUGUGUGUCUAUGUGUUAAUUUAUAUAAAUGCUGUUGGUUUAUAGCUGUUGCUUCGUUUCAGUAUUUUUUCACUCAGCACUAUGCGGUUAAGAUUUAUUUUGUUGCUGCAUGUACAUCCUCUAUGUUGCCUUUAGGUGUAGGAGAGACCAUUUGUAAUAUAUGGUAUAAUGUUUCAGAUUACACACCCACUGCUUAUGCGUUCCCCCGCAAUGGGCACCCAAAGUAACUUUCAGCUUUCUGUGACUAUAAAUUAACACUGUGAUAAAUAUCCUCAUGUAAGUUGCCUUUUGAUUUGUGUGCUGAUUUCUUUGAUGCGCAUACCUAGAUAUGUGCUUGUUGGAACAUGGGAUAAUUUGCAUACUGAGUUUAUUAAGUUUCAUCGGAUUAUUUUCCGUAAUACUACUUCGGUUACACUCCUGCCGGUAGACGAUGAGAAAUCUUAUUUUUCUACUUUCUUACCCACAACUGCUGUUAUCUGAUUUUUAAUUUUUAUUAUUUUGAUGAUUGUUAAGGUAUGUAUCAAUGUUGUUACAAUUGGCAUUUCUCUGACUCUGGUGUGUUUCUCUGAUUUCUAUGCUUAAUUGCCACUGGGCUUCCUUUUAAAUGAUUUGCCUAUUUUUCUGUCCAGGUUUCCUGUCUUUUCCUUACAUGUUUGUAGCUGUUUCUUAUACAUGCCACAUAUAGCAAUUCCUUAGCAGUUUUUAAACAUUGAAAGUAUCUUCUCUACAAACGGAAACAGAUGGCAGACAUGGAGAGCAGACUUGUGGUUGCCCCCGUCGGGGCGAGGGGGUUGGGGGGGGAUGGUUGGGGAGUUUGGGUUGUGGAGCAAACUGCAACAUUUGGAAUGGAUGGGCAACGGGGUCCUACUGUAUAGCAUGGGGAACUGGGUGUGAUUGGUGACUUUGCUGUACAACAGAAAUUGAAGAAACAUUGUAAAUCAACUG
rnacentral:lncRNA from 1 species